UCGGCGAGGAGUACGUGUCCAAGGACACCACUGAGCCGCCCCGAUGGCAUAACAAGGUGAAGCCAUCGUUCACCAACGGCGUGUUUGUGCAAGAGAUUUAUUCCCAGUUGCCCGGAAAAUGUGACCUUGUCGUGGAUGGCAAGAUGGAGGGAGAUUAUUUGGUCGUGUCAACGUGGGUAAAUGGGGAUCCAUUCGGAACUCCUCGGCCAUUUUUUCAAAAACAACCUCGGAUGUAUGCCGGUACAUCUGUUGAAGUAGUCCAUAUUUUUUUUUUAAUAAAAGCAUUAAUUGAACGUAGUGUUUAAGAGUUGUAUUCAUUGCUCUCAGUUUAAAUUGAUUGCCAGUGAAGUGUAUUAUUGCAAACAUAAUUACGAUUCCCAAGAGUUAAGUCAUAAAUUUUAACUACUAAAUAAGAUUACUACGCGAUCUAUUUGCAGCGGACUUAAACGUACCACUUUUUAAGUAUGUAAACCGUCCAUAUACAUCCGAGGUUGUUUUUGAAAAAAUGGCCGAGGAGCUCCGAAUGAUGGGGAUCCAGACGUAAAGGGGAUAAAAUACUACAAGAAAGUAUAGAUGUCUGACGUGAAAUUCACGUGCACCUGCUCAAGAGAUUGGACAGUACACGUGUGGCCGCAAUAACGCAAAAAGACUUUCGUCAUUUUCGACGAUUACAAGAUGGCACGAUUCAAGUUUUACCUAUUUUAAAAGAUUUUAAAAUCUCAUGUAUUAUUUUGAUAAAAAAAAAAAUCCUCAAUAGGUAAAGAAAAUUAAUUCUUGAACAAAAAUAUAUACUUGAGAAAUACCUUUAAAAAUCGCUAAAUUGUUUUAAUCACAGUUUAUGCACUUAUUCAGAGAUCAAACCAGACUUGCGAUAUUCAGUAUUGAUAAAUACACAUUUAUGUUCAUUCUUUUAUA